rnacentral:rRNA from 1 species
UACGUAGGGGGCAAGCGUUGUCCGGAUUCAUUGGGCGUAAAGGGUGCGUAGGUGGCGUGGUAAGUCGGGUGUGAAAUUUCGGAGCUUAACUCCGAAACUGCAUUCGAUACUGCCGUGCUUGAGGACUGGAGAGGAGACUGGAAUUUACGGUGUAGCAGUGAAAUGCGUAGAGAUCGUAAGGAAGACCAGUGGCGAAGGCGGGUCUCUGGACAGUUCCUGACGCUGAGGCGCGAAGGCCAGGGGAGCAAACGGG